UAUUAAAUCAGAAUCGGGCGACAAUGUCCAACCGAACCGAACUGUCUCACUCUCCCACUUCAACGUUUGAAAAAUAGGUUCCUCGGCGGAAGUACGACACGCCGCUCCUUUCGACCAGACCACGCGCCACCAGUCCCUUUAGCUUCCCGCCUUUUGUCCUCUGUCUCUCUCUAGGUGCCUGAUCUGAGGGGUUUUGGGCUUUAUGAGUCUGUAGCCGUCGAUGAUAACAGAAUGGGCGGAGUCACGUCUUCAAUCGCUGCCAAGUUCGCCUUCUUCCCACCGAGCCCUCCGUCAUACACUGUGAUAGAGGACGACACGCGUGGAGACCGAUUUUAUAUUCCCGAGGCCCCGAGGAGGGACGGCGUCAAGGUGGAUGUCCUCAAGCUCCGGAACCGUAAAGGAAACGACAUCGUGGCCAUCCACGUCGAGAAUCACAAGGCAUCGGCCACUUUGCUCUACUCCCACGGGAAUGCCGCUGAUUUGGGACAGAUGUUCGAGCUCUUUGUCGAACUCAGCAUUCGGCUUCGCGUCAAUCUCAUGGGGUACGAUUACUCUGGCUAUGGACAAUCAACUGGGAAGCCAUCUGAAUGUAAUACAUAUGCAGACAUUGAUGCAGCAUAUAAAUGUCUCAAGGAGAAGUAUGGUGUUAAAGAUGAACAAUUAGUAUUAUAUGGUCAGUCUGUCGGUAGUGGGCCCACUCUUGAUCUUGCUUCGAGAAUACCAAAGUUAAGUGGAGUAGUUUUGCAUAGCCCAAUUCUGUCUGGGCUGAGAGUCUUGUACCCAGUUAAACGGACAUACUGGUUUGAUAUCUUUAAGAAUAUAGACAAAAUUGGUAUCGUGAGCUGUCCUGUUCUCGUUAUACAUGGGACUGCAGAUGAAGUUGUGGAUUGGUCCCAUGGGAAGCAGCUUUGGGAGCUUUCCAAGGAAAAGUUCGAACCAUUGUGGUUAAGUGGAGGUGGACAUUGCAACCUUGAGCUUUACCCGGAGUUCAUUAGACAUCUGAAGAAGUUUGUACGGGCAGUUGCCAAAAUGAAAGCAACCACAAAUGGUUCUCAUAAAACUGCAGUAGAAUCUGAUGCUCAGAGCAGACCAUCUGAAACUAGAACUACAGAUAAAUUUGAAUUGGGCCCGGAUCUCCAAGAAGCUUCUAGAAACAGUUUAGAUAGCCGACUCGAGAAGUCUAGAAAGUCAAACAAGCCUGAAAAGUCUCGCAUGAGCACUGACCUUGUUGACAGGUUUAGAAGAAAGGGCUUAGUCUGGUGACUAAUUUACACGCACAGGCUCACAGCAAUUAAAUAAAUAAUGGAGCUAAUAUAUACCUGGGAAGUCUCAGUUGAUAACGUAAUUGUCCGUGGCAUUCUACUAGGGUGAGGGAACUGGAAAUCUACCGGUGUUAUCAAUCUUUUGGAUUUGGGAAUUGUAAGUCAACUGGCUGAGCUGCAUUUGGCCAUUCGAAGUGUUAGCAAAUGAAAUUGCCAGAAUGUGGAAGGGCAAUGACAACUUGGUGUGCAUUGCCUUUUCGUUUACUUAUAGCUGAUUGAGAUGAUUAGAUGGUGCGUCUCUCUGAAAAAUGGGAAACUGAGCAAGUGCUAUGAGAUUUGAAGCCAACGUUCUCUCAGAUCAAAUUAUCACAAAUCACUGAAGUAAGAUAGGAAGAGAACAAGUUAUACUUUAAUAAUGGUUUGACAAUAAUUGCUGUAAACAUUCCCAGAAAAUUAUCGGGGUUUACAGGAUUUGAGCCAAAGUUCUCUCACAGACGAAACCGUCAGUCCCAAAAUCAGGCAAACUGGCCUGUAAUGAAUAGGAUAAUCGAUAUAUUAUAGAGACUAUAAUAUAUGAAGUUUUGCAGCAUGUUUAAGCCACCCUUACAUCUUGACGCACAUUAAAUUUAUCUAUGUGAUUUCAGAACACCAUGAAACACAGUUUGAACAAAUGAAAUCCAACUAGCACCACAUUUUGAAGUCUACCUCCAAGUAAAUAUUGAGACUGCUCUUUCUCUCUCUCAGAAAAGAAGUAUAAGCUUAGUGUGUC